rnacentral:rRNA from 1 species
UAGGGAAUCUUCGGCAAUGGACGAAAGUCUGACCGAGCAACGCCGCGUGAGUGAAGAAGGUUUUCGGAUCGUAAAACUCUGUUGUUAGAGAAGAACAAGGACGUUAGUAACUGAACGUCCCCUGACGGUAUCUAACCAGAAAGCCACGGCUAACUACGUGCCAGCAGCCGCGGUAAUACGUAGGUGGCAAGCGUUGUCCGGAUUUAUUGGGCGUAAAGCGAGCGCAGGCGGUUUCUUAAGUCUGAUGUGAAAGCCCCCGGCUCAACCGGGGAGGGUCAUUGGAAACUGGGAGACUUGAGUGCAGAAGAGGAGAGUGGAAGUCCAUGUGUAGCGGUGAGAUGCGUAGAUAGGUGGAGGAACACCAGUGGCGAAGGCGGCUCUCGGGUCUGUAACUGACGCUGAGGCUCGAAAGCGUGGGGAGCAAACAGG